CCCCCUCAAGGGCUUGGGUGCAGAGAGCAGCUGCACAAACCCUGUCCCUGCAGGGAGGAGCAGUGGUGGGGAAACAUCCACGUCAGGCUUUUCCAGGGGUGGCCUGGCCAUUUAGGAUGCCCGGCCGUUAGGGCAGGGGCUGAAAGUCUUGCUCUUCAUGGCAGGGAGCAAAGCCUCACGGACCUGCAACGCCCUCGACGCCUUCGCACCCGGAGCCUCGCGCCGACCUGAGCCCAGGGGAGCAGAUACAGCAGCGGGGCUUAACCAACCCCCCAGGCUCCUGCCAGGGCGACCGAUGCUCCCAGCCAGGCUCGCCAGGAGCGAUCCGGCACGGCUGCCUCCCCGGGACGAGCUCCCGGCCUCCGCGCCCUUCGCAGAGCGCCGCGCAGGCACGCCGGGCUGCAGGGCUGGCUGCUUUUUUCCUUCGAGGAAUAGGCAACGUCGCCUCAAUAUUUGCAGAAAAUGCUGCUAUUGCAAAGGGAAAAGGCAUCCUCGCGUUUGCUUAAUCAGCGUUUACCUUCGGCGACACGGAGGGAAAAUAAAUGCCUUGGGAUCAAAGCAGCUCUCCGCCGCAGAAUUAGGAGCACAAAGGUGUCGGCAACGCGGCGCAGAUGAGUGCUUGCUGGGUCUGACAAGGGCUCCGCGCCCCGCACCGGCUCAGGGGGGAAAGGUUACGGUCCGGCAAGGACAAGACACCCGGCUGGAACGGCUGAGCUGGGACCACCAAAACAGCACCGGGCGGGGAGAGAAAACCCAGCCGCCGGGAGAAAUGGGAAAUGGUUUCCCAGCCGGCCCGGCGGACAGAAGAUGCAGGACUCCACAUCUCCCCACGCCCCGGGGUCUCGCCUGCGCCACGCGUCGCCUCUCCGGGCUCCAUCGCCACGGCCCUGGCCGGACUGGGGCGCCUGAGCCCGUGGGGCCGGGGCCGGGAGGGCCGAAGCAAGCAGGGGUGCCGUGUUGUCCAUCCAGCCCUCCUUCCCCGGGGCCAUCCCUCCCUCCCUCUUCUCCUCCACCUUCCUCACCGCUCAUCCCCACCUCUCCCUGUGCUGCGGAGGGGGACAGCCCGGCGUCUCCCUGCCAAACCACGAAGCGGGACUCUUUACGCAGGUUUGGUUUUCCGGGUCCCGUUUCAGACGCGCGCGUUGGCGUCGCCGCAUCCGAAGUCCUGCCCUGGCCGGGAAGGACAUCGCCGGCUCGCCGCGGCCCGGAGAGACGCCGGAGAGAUGCACCGGCGGCCAGAGUUAAGGGUAAAAGGGAGCCGAACCCUCCAGGGCCGGGGUCGGGGGUGGCUGCCUCGGUGCGUGCCGCCCUCCCCGCCCUGACGUCUUGACACGCGGAUAAAAGCCGAGCCGAAGGGACGAUUUCACGGAGAUUAACCUCGCGCGCUGCGCUGGGGCCGCCGCCGCCCUCGGCACCGGGUCCCCCGUGUAUCACGGGCGGAUUACAGAUAUAUUAGCCCCGCCACCGGUUUUAUUAGCGGCGGUUUAUCACGCGGAGGGGGGACGGCCACGGGCAGGGGCCGGAGGAGCCUGGCCACCUUCUGGGAACCCAGAGCCUCACCAUAGAGCCUUUAAUUGGAUUUCUGGGAGAGAACCCUGGCUGGGGUCGGUGUUCUUUGCCUGGCCCCGGUACGGCCCGGCUCCCCGAGGUUUGCGGUGCUGAUAGGCGACGCCUGCGGUGCCCGCGGCGAGGGAGGGGGGAAGCCUUCGGCCUCGCCGCGGGCAGAGCUGCCCCCCUGCACCACCCUGGGCUGGGUUAGAGAGAUGUGAUUCAACAAAAAGAAUCACUCUGCUGGCUUCCGCAGGGGAUGGUGAUGCUGGUGGUGUCGCAGCCGGGCGCAUCCCUCCCCACCCCGCGCAAAAUCUCCCCCAGGCCUGAGGAAUUCACCUCCCUGGACCCAAAAAUUCGCCAAACUGGACCCAAAAAUUGGCCUCCCUGGACCCAAACCUCCGAAGGCCGAGCAUCCCCACGCGGCGCAGGGGUACCCAACCCCGAGGGGGCUCAGGCGAGUGCCGGGAUGCCCGGCAUCGCUGCGGCGAGUCACGUCGGGGCGGGGGGAGGAUUUGAGCCUGAAAGAGGUUAAAGUGGGGCAAAGCGGGGAGGGGGGGGAAGAGAAACCUCCCGAACGAACGGGGCGUUUUAAUGACAUUCCAUUAAAGCUCCCUUUGGGGCCGGCGCGGCCGCCAUGUGCUCCACAUUCUCAUGGUAAUUAUGAGACAUCUGUAUAGAGGCUCUUUUCUCAUCAAAGAUGGCUCUCUUCAAAGACGCUCCUGGGAAACCCUUCACCUCUGACCCGGGGGGUCACCGCCGAAACACUGCCUCUAUAGUGCGCCUUACUGUAAAGCCCGCUUGGCUCCCCGGCUCUGAUUGACUGUGACUGACAGCUCUGCCCAUCGUCUGCGGCUCCCGCUCGCUUCAUGGAUACAAUUGGGAUUUUUAUAAAGCCUCCGCGUCCAGCUGGGGGGGGGGGGUUGAACCCCCCCGUGGGGUCCCAGCGCCCCACCCCCCGGGACAAUAACUUUUCCCCGUGGCCUUUUCCAGCUCGCCCUUGAAUCACGGCCCGUGUCCCGCGCGGGGUUUGGGUAAAAUAUCCCCGCGGAGGUUAUUUAUGGGGGGGUGAAACGGGGCCGGGCGGGGGGGGGGCGGCUGCGAAAGGCCAUUUCUGACUGUUCGCUAAUGGGCUGGUGAAAACCGGCCAUAAACCAGCCCCAGCCCCCCCCGUGCUGGGGGCCGGACUGGGACCGGACUGGGGGGCUUACUGGGAUCAGACUGGGGGGCUUGCUGGGAUCAGACUGGGGGCUUACUGGGACCAUGCUGGGAUCAGACUGGGGGGCUUGCUGGGAUCAUACUGGGGGGCUUGCUGGGAUCAGACUGGGGGCUUACUGGGCUCAGACUGGGGGGCUUACUGGGAUCACACUGGGACCGUGCUGGGAUCAGACUGGGGCUGCAACUGGGACAAACCAGGGGGCCAUACUGGGCUCCAGCUGGGACUGCACUGGGACCUCACUGGGAGCUCAUCCUGGUGGGUCCGUACUGGGAGCAGGAGAGGCCCGCACUGGGAGUGAACUGGGAGCAUCCCAUGGACCGCACUGGGGGUGGAUGAGGCUGAACUGGGACGCCCCGUGCCCAUACUGGGAGGCCUGGCCGCCGUCGCUUUUCCUUCCGGCCCAAUUCCAGCCAAAAACAUUCUUAAAAAAAAGCAUCAAAUUCUCUUUUUUUUUUAACAAGAUCAAUUUUACGCCCCGCCCCCGCCCCGAGCGCGCCGGUAACUGGGGAGCCAUCGGGAAAUGAAGAAUAUGAAUGAAAAAAAUGAAAAAUAAAGAAAAAAUGAAAAAAAAAA